UUCACGUUGCACGGAUUAAAUAUUUAAGCUGAGAACGUUAUGAUUCGAGUCUUUAGUGAAAAGGAAGUUUCUCGUUCGACAUUUUCAAAAAUACAGCAAUGAAAGUAUCUGCUGUGUCCUCCCUUUUAUUAAUCGUUGCAAGUGUGAGCAUCAUCAGAGGAGCUCCAAGACUAGAUACAAAUGAAAGUACACUUAAAGAAAAAGAACUUAAGGAAAUGGUUGGAGAUUUCAUUAUUA